UACGGAGGGGGCUAGCGUUGUUCGGAAUUACUGGGCGUAAAGCGCGCGUAGGCGGAUCUGCAAGUCGGGGGUGAAAUCCCGAGGCUCAACCUCGGAACUGCCUUCGAUACUGCGGGUCUCGAGUCCGGGAGAGGUGGAGUGGAAUUCCUGGUGUAGCGGUGAAAUGCGCAGAUAUCAGGAGGAACACCAAUGGCGAAGGCAGCUCGCUGGACAGUUCCUGACGCUGAGGCACGAAGGCCAGGGGAGCAAACGGG
rnacentral:rRNA from 1 species